AUUAUCCUCAUAAGUUUGACGAUAAGAGGAACCGAUUAAAAUUUAAUUUAAUCGGUGGCACAGAAUCGGAGGCCCCGACUGUUUACUAAAAACACAAUUCAGAGCAAUGAUUAAGAUAGUAGUAUUCUGAAUGAAAUUUGCCCAAUGCCAUUAAUAUAAGAGAGGUAAUUACAAAGUUACUAAUCGAAAGUCUGGUUAAUAGCGGUCUUAACUAUGAGGAUCCAAAGGUAGCAAAAUCAGUUGGCCAUUAAAUGUGGUCUGGUAUCAAUAGUGUAACGAUGGUCUCACUGUCUCUACAACUUGCUCAGUGAAAUUGAAUUACCCGUGCAGAUGCGGGUUGCCUCCAGGUGGACGGGAAGACCCUAUGCAGCU
rnacentral:rRNA from 2 species